AUUAAUUUCCUUUCUAUGUGCCUCUUCUAAGAUUACUUUAUACUAUAAAAGACCUUAGCUCUUUAAACAAACUGACAUGUUUAGCAAUGUCACUCCAGUUAAGGCCUUUAGNCACACACACACACACACACACACACACACACACACACACACACACACUCAGACGCAGGUGAAUACAAACCCUUUGCCUGUGUUUUGAUAUUCUUAAGUAAUCACCAUGCCCACAAAUCAGGUGAGCAAAAACGUCAGGCGUGGGCCACCAUAGCAAGGCGAUAACAGAGAUUGAUAACAUGUUUACCAUCGCAGGUCUGGGUCCCUGAUCUACAACGCCAAGACCUGUGGGAUAAAGACACACGAGCGAGGGCCCGAGCUGGCGGGCAGCCGCAGUAAUUGAGAGGAGAUGUAUUUAUAGAGUGGCCUGCUCAGCAUCCAGUGCCGUCUGUAAAUUUGCAGGGAGCUAAAAGGAAAAAUGUCACAACCCAAGGACAGGACCAGGCAGAGGGGUGUCCUGAACAGUGCCAGCAGGUAAUAGGAGUGUCAGUUUUCCCCCACACUGCCUUCGCAGAGGAAGAGAACAUAAGUAAAGUGAAGCUGGGUGAGAGAAGAAAAAAAAAGAUGGAAUAAGUGUUUAUUCAGCUUCUUGGCAGUGCAACAUGAAUCCUUAGUAAGGUGUUACAGCAACGCAUACCUAAAUACUGCAGGCCACAAAAAGUUGCAGUUAUUUAAGGAGGUUGUGUCUUCAGGCUCCAUGGUGUCAAAUAAUUUUGACAGGCAAUGGAAAGGCAAUAUUUCUAGGGCAGGCUAUCCCUUCUGUUUUGCCCAUAGACUUUUCAAUCAAUCAAAGCCAGGCUUUUUUCCCACUGAAGUGUUCAAUAAUUCAUUGGACUCCGGCUUAGGGCCAUAGCUGAUGUUCGGAAGAAGAAUUGCAAUGAAGAGGAGGAGGAGGAGGAGAAGAGUGAAUUGCAUUUUGGGCAAAUCUACAGGCCAAAGACAAUUAAAUGUUACUAACAGAGCCAUGGUUCUCAUCAAGUUCACAGAUUCAGGUUUUAACAGAAACUUUUGAGCUGCCUCAUAAAAGUCAAUUUUAAUUUAUUUGUUCCUAAUUUUAUUC
ensembl:lncRNA